UGUAUUCCACAUUCCUGUAGCCUUCACAGAGUCAAAGAUUUCAGUCAACACACGGAUGAGGCGUUACGAGCUGUCAGGUGUCUUCAUUCAGUCUCCUCACAGUGUUGGAAAUUGUUUUAAAAAGUUGCGUUAUCCUUCUGGUUUUGCGUUGACACUGAAAGGGGGGAAGGAGUCCGCCGUCGGCUCGUCAUGCAGGGGCGACGAUUUCCCACAACAGCGGCGGUGGGACGCGCCGGAGACAGCUGCAGGCUCUGGCACGAAGAGCAGGAAUUGCAAGCAGGCGAGAGGAGGCUCUCCGCGCUGUGGAGAGGGGAGGUGCGCACAGCUCAAAACCACCGAGCUGCUUCCCGACUCCAAACGCGCUCUUGUCUGUUCCUCCCUCCUCCCACUGGACCCUGAACACAUCUGACCUGCAUGCACGUGCAGUAUAUGGAGCGCCCCCUCUCCAAGGUGUGCUCGCCGGGCAGCUGGAAUGCUGUGCCAGUGUAUGUAGACCUGCUGGAGAUAUAAAGUGUUGGUCUAGAGAUUCCAUCAAGUCUCCCUUCAUCCUUUCAAACACAACACAGGAUUAUUGAACCAGCCAGCUGCAAUAA